UCAAAGUUGCGUCGUCGAUGAAGGUCUGAUCGGUCUCAGUCGUCGACAGCUAGCUUAUAAGACCCUUCAUUUUUGUUUUAUUUCAAGGGAAGGAAGGAUCACGUGAAUGCAUCGUGGACAGCUUCUCCUUUCGCAGGAGCAGCAUGUGAAAUGCGAUACCUCUUGCCGACGCGCUCUUUUUUCUUCUUCUUUUGGUAUGAUAACACAACCGCGAAACACCCGUCUGGCUUUUUCCAAACGCUCUUUGGGAACACCAACCACACACACACAAAAAGAAACCGUUAUCGCCCUCGCAAGAUGAAUUUUCGACUGGUGGUAUACGCUGUCUGCCACGUACGAGCUUCCAGCAGUGAGUGUGCCACGUAAGAGCCAAGUGAUAUUUACUCCGUAUCUCGUCGGAUGACCAUUGCUGAGCCAAAGGCGUACGGCAGUUACUGCAGCUGGACAUCGGUGGACGUAGAUGUUAUGGUCAAUCUGAGUCACGGUAGUGCAUUUUCCCUGUUUCAGUGUUGGUUUUGUAAAUUCUGUUGUAGCUACGAAAACGAACAGGGAAACAGCACUCAGAAAGGACAAGGUGUAGCAGAACAUCUCCGGACAUCUAUUUACCAUGACGACCUACAGUAAAAUGAGACAACUCGUCAUGGAUUUCAAUAUUUAUUGGUAUGAGGACGGCGACAUUUUCCUUGGAGUUGAUGAUCCUGGGUAACGUCCCGCAUGCCGCACACAUCAUCACCCGAUUGGGACCAGGAAUCGCCAGCGUUGGCUGGCUGUUCGACAUCGGACCAGUGAUCGCCAGUCAUUUCGUCGUCGGUGGUGGCAGGUAGUUCUCCGGAACCCAAGUCCUUCUACGACUUCCAGAAGGUUGCAACAGUCGGUCCAACGUGUCC